rnacentral:lncRNA from 1 species
AAAGAUCUCCCGUUAAUUCUUGUGUCAGUUCAGUGGGAAAAGGGAACAUGGCCUUUCUGUAGCAAUGUGCUAUAAGUUUUUGCCUUUUUAUGUGCCUGCUGCUGUACACCUCCUCGGCCAAAUCUGCUUUCUUUGGCUUUCCAGUUAUUUAAACCGGUGUGGUUUGUGGACCUUGUGGUGCACUGUGUAAGUUAAUGUCAGGCUGAAUGCCACCAGCUACUUGUAAGCUGCUGAUGGCAGUCUCCAACAGCUGUUCUGUAGGUGCCACUUGUCAGAUGCUACAGUGAUAUAUCCAAAGAAGGGACCGCGCACCUGGCAAAGCGGUUUCCUUCAGCUCUUCCCCUGCACGAAUGCUUAGGAGCAGCAGCACUCUCUCAUCACUGCUGGAGUAAACAUAUCUCCAUGACUUCCCUUGUAAAGUUCUUCAGCUUUUUAGGGCAAAGAUCCAUCUAUUAAGUUCUUUGAAUGAUGAGUAGACUGCUUUGGUUACAUUACACCACUGUUUGUUUCAUACCUUCCUUUUUCUCCCCCUUUAGCAUCACUACCUCUAAAGUGAUUCAAAGAGAAAGCUGCAGUGAUUGUUUGGUACUGCUGGCCAGCUGACAGCCCUGGAAAGCUCCGGACCCCAAUGCUUUCACAAGCCCCAUGCACACGUAGUGCAGCAUCGCCUCAGAUCUGUGGAGAUGAUCCAGCCUCCGCGUGCACCAUCUCAGCUUCUUCCCACCCGGUCUCUGGGUGCAGCAGUUCAAAAGCCCCCUGAGCCUGGGGCCGCGUGCUACACCGAAAUGUUCAAUCCUGCAUUUGAAUAAGCUGAAUAAAUCCAGCCAUACUGCUAAACAUAUGGUCUGAAAUAAACCCAACAAGCCCAACCCCUGCCCACCUGGAAACACGAGGAGUUCUCCCAGAAAGACCCGACCUUGGCCUUCUGCAUCCCAAAGGGCAGCUGAUGGCAAUGGGUUUUCACCCCUGUUCCCCUGGGCCUGGGCAGCAGGACGCCUCACGCUCUGUGGUGGAGCUGAGAGCUCUGUGAAACACAGCCCUGCCAGGUUACGUACUGUUGCGGCUCUGCCUGCCCUUAACCAUCUGUGCGAAUCUCACAGUUAUUGCACCCAGCAUCAGGUUUAUAAUGCUUCUGGUCUGC